rnacentral:tRNA from 1 species
GCCUGGGUGGCUCAGCUGGUCGAGCGACUGACUCUUGAUUUCAGCUCAGGUCAUGAUCUCACAGUUCAUGGGUUCAAGCCCCACCUCGGGCU